AUCCUCCAAGGCUAAAUACUCCUGAUUGACCGAUAGUGAACCAGUACUGUGAAGGAAAGGCGAAAAGAACCCCGGUGAGGGGAGUGAAAUAGAACCUGAAACCUUGUACGUACAAGCAGUGGGAGCCUGAAAGGGUGACUGCGUACCUUUUGUAUAAUGGGUCAGCGACUUAUAUUUUGUAGCGAGGUUAACCGAAUAGGGGAGCCGAAGGGAAACCGAGUCUUAACUGGGCGACGAGUUGCAAGGUAUAGACCCGAAACCCGGUGAUCUAGCCAUGGGCAGGUUGAAGGUUGGGUAACACUAACUGGAGGACCGAACCGACUAAUGUUGAAAAAUUAGCGGAUGACUUGUGGCUGGGGGUGA
rnacentral:rRNA from 1 species